UUUUUAUAUUAUAUAUUUACUUAUUGUUUAUUUAACUAUACAUUUUCAAAUAUAUGUUUAAUUCAGUUUUUUAUUUUUAUAUUGUAUGUUUACUUACUGUUUAUCUUUUUUAUUUUUUAUUUAUUUAUUUUAAAUUUCUUACUACGUACGGGCACAAAAAUUAAUAUGCAUAUCUUAUGAUACUCUAAUAUAUACAAUAAUAUUGGUCGAAGAUCCAAUGAGGUAACUAAUCAGAUCCUCAAAAAAGUUUCCUACCUGAUAUACUGUUGUUAUAAUCUGAUCCAGUAAAAUGAUGUGGAUUCUCUAGUCUAGUGUUGUGUGAGAAGAAUUCACUCACUUGUACGCACAUCGUUUUAUCUUUUUGUUUUUGUUUUUAUUGGCUCUUCAUAUUUUGCAUAAUACUUGUGUUUAUGGUCCACUAAUCACGUGUUCACUCUAUUUCUAUACAUAAGCAUCACCAAAACAUGCAAAACUUCUAAAAAUUAGAACUUUUUGUUUGAAGAAUAUGCCUUUCUAAAGAUAAGCCAUAAAACUAAUUUUAAAUAGCUAAUUCUUUAUAUAGAGAGAAUGUACUUAUUUUUACCUCAUUUGCAAAUAUUAUACUAUGGUUUCUCUGUCUUUUUGAAGAAUUAAACUCUGAAAAAAAACAGAAUACUCAAGUUACAUCUUCUAUCUGAAUCAUGUUAAACAAGUCAAAUGAUAUUAAUUUGAACAGAAUAGAAAAAGAAUAUGAAUAGAAUAGUCAAAGACGUAUACUGAUUUUUGUUUAUAUACAGAAAAGUUGAGAAAAUUGAAUAUGAAACGAUGGAGAAAAAGAGAAAAAAAAAACAGUUAUGGAAAAUUAUAUAGUAGAAGAUGAAACAGGUUGAAGUCAUAUCAUGAUUUGAGAAGUUAUAUAUGACGUGAAACAGAUUCGUAGAUCAGAAGUUAUGUAGGAAAAAAAAUAUUUGAAGUGGUGAAAACUAAUUUUGAACGUGGGAUGAGAUCCUUUGAGAAAAUAUAGGAGUUUAGAUAUAUUUGAAGUUGCAAAUUUUGGAAAGGGGAAAUUUUACUUUUACACUUUGUUGAAUACCACUUUUCAAUUUUACCAUUAGUCUAAGGAUAUUUUCAGAAAUACCACUUUCAUUAAUGAGCAAAAGGCAAUAAUACCCUUACCUUAUCUUCUUCUCCACCAUCGGUUUCUCUCCUUCUCCUCGAGUCACCAUCGUCUCUCUCUCACCGUCGUCUCUCUCUCUCACCAUCGAUUUCCGGCGUCUCUCUCACCAUCUAGUUUCGGCGUCUCUCUCACCGUCUAGUUCCGUCGACUUUCUCUUACCGUCGACUUCUGGCGAUGAAAUCGAUUCAAAAUCUACAAGAUGUCAACUCCUAUACGUGAUUCACAACUUGUAUUUCUCUAAUUUUUGUAUUUUUGUUUGAUUCGAUUUUGUGCUUUCUCUUAUCGAACAAUCAAACAAAGUUCUCUUAGAUAUCACAUUUAAAGAUGUCGAUCUAAGAGAAACAUAUUCGAUAGUGAAACAUUGAGAAUGAAAACAUUGAGUAUUUGAAAACUUAAAUCUGGUUUUGAAGUCAUAUUAAGAUUGAUCUGAAUGGUUCCGGCUAAGAAAGAGAUUUUCCGAUAGUGAAAACUGCAUAUUAAAGAAGAGAUAAUUUCCGUUAGUGAAAACUGAAUAUUAAGGAAUUAUAACCCCCUAUAAAUCUGGGUUUCAUGAGAUUAUUGAUAAAUACAAGUCAAUGAUUUAUAAAGAAUUAUAACCCCUUAUAAAUCUGGGUUUCUGCCAGGAAACCUCUUCUGCAGAUCCGUUAUGUCUACGUAGGGACUCAACAAGGGCUCCGACAAUUACUGAAGUGUUGGAGGUGGAGAAGAAAAAUAAUGGUGUGGUUACUACAAUGUUUGGAUUCUCUGAGGAAUUCAAACAUUUGGUGAACCCAACACAUCCUGAUGAUAAGGACUUUGACAGUGUUGUACAACUAGUUCAACAAGGAUACAAAGUGAAGAAAAGCGAUUGGGAAGAAGGAUUUGUGGAUGUUUUCUUACAACAGAAGACGUUGGUCGACAAAGCAGGACAGAAAACAAAGAUGUACAGCAUAACCUCUAAGGUCAUUGUGUUUUUGAUGUUUUAUAAGACUUUAUCAAAUUUGAAAUCGCUAAGUUAUUUUAAUAUUAUAAGCAUUUAUAAAUCUCUUAUUUUUGUUUGAAAUAGGAGCAAACACAAGAUGAAGAAGAACAACAAGUGGAAGCUGGUGCUGAAUUCGGCGACGGUGAUAAAGAAAGAGAAACAUCAAAAAUCAAUGAAGUAAGCUAAUAUAUAAACCCUUAUAAAUUUGGACUAUCAUUUUAAAAAAAUUAUAAGCCAUCCUAAAUUUGUUAUUGUUUUUUUUUCUCUUGGAAAUAGGGGCAGACACUUGAGGAAGGAGAAGAAGGACAAAUGGAAGCUGAUACAGAAGUUGAGGAGCCCGUGCAAGUUGAAAGGCAGAAUGAAGAAGAGGAAAUAAGCCAUCAUAAUACUGUUUAGGAACAAAAGCAUAAGAAGAAUAAAGAGAAAAGAAAAGAUGAAGCGUAUGAGAAAGCUAAGGAGAAAUUUCAAGAUGAAGAUGGUUCCAAACUCGAUAAGUUAAUCCAAAUGCUUUAUGAUUUGAAUAAACGAGAAGAAGUAAUCGAGAAUGUCUUACGAUUGGUAAGCAAAUAACUUUACCAAGCACUUAUAAAUAUUUUCACAUGUUAUUUUCUUUACCUAUUAUGACAUGAUUUCUUGAAGGCA